GACGAACGCUGGCGGCGUGCUUAACACAUGCAAGUCGAACGGAAAGGCCCUGCUUUUGUGGGGUGCUCGAGUGGCGAACGGGUGAGUAACACGUGAGUAACCUGCCCUUGACUUUGGGAUAACUUCAGGAAACUGGGGCUAAUACCGGAUAGGAGCUCCUGCUGCAUGGUGGGGGUUGGAAAGUUUCGGCGGUUGGGGAUGGACUCGCGGCUUAUCAGCUUGUUGGUGGGGUAGUGGCUUACCAAGGCUUUGACGGGUAGCCGGCCUGAGAGGGUGACCGGCCACAUUGGGACGGAGAUACGGCCCAGACUCCUACGGGAGGCAGCAGGGGGGAAUAUUGCACAAUGGGCGGAAGCCGGAUGCAGCAACGCCGCGGGCGGGAUGACGGCCUUCGGGUUGUAAACCGCUUUCGCCGGUGACGAAGCGUGAGUGACGGUAAUGGGUAAAGAAGCACCGGCUAACUACGUG
rnacentral:rRNA from 1 species